rnacentral:lncRNA from 1 species
UAAUAAUAAUGCGAUAAUUUUUUUAAAAUAUGGAAUGGAAAAUCAUAGUUAAAAACAACAAGAAAGGGAAAAUAAUCCACGAUAAAACUACAUAAGAUGAGAAGUAUACAUUGGAUAAGACAUAACUAAUAUGUUAUUUACUAUGGCAUAUUAACUAUUUGCUUAUAAUAGCCACUCAUUUAUCAAAUUUUUUUGUUCUUCCAAAUGCUGAUUCAUAAUGUGUUUUUAAACUCAAAUCUAUCACUUCAGGAUUGUGUACAUUUUCUAUAUCAAUAAAACACAUUCAAUAGUAUUUUGUAUUAAAAGGGAGCGUAAAAGAUAUCCAUAGCUAUCACAAACCUCUCCAUAUUCUAUCAAAAAUGAUCGCAAAUAUAAAGGAUUCCAGUUGUGCAACAAUAACAUAACUUUAUUUACCUAAAAUCUACGUAAUACAUAAUAGUAUUAUCUAAAAAAGGAAAAUCUCGAUCAACUUUAUAUGAAACUAUCAAUUUUCUCAUUUCCUCAGCAAGUUCUCUGGAAGAAGCACAAAGACAUCGUUUGGCCAUAAAAUCAAAAUCAUUUCCAUCAGGAUCCAUAAUUACGCCUCCAGCUUCCUUAAUUAUAAUUGCUCCUGUAAAAUGUAUUCAAUCGAAUUAUAUAAAAAAUAUCUCUAAAACUUUUAAGUUUACCUGCUGCCAUAUCCCAGCAAUGAAUCCCAAAAUGGAAAAAACUAUCAGCAUAUCCAGCUCCAAUCCAACACAUAUCCAACGCAGCUGGCCCUGUAAUAUAAAUGUUAUUAUAAUUCUAUAAAAAAUGGCGAUGAAGAUUAUUAUACGUUGGUAUUACCGGGACAGCGUAUGGCUUGUACAUUAUUUAAUAGAUUUUUCAUUGUCCCAAUGUUUGCUUCUUUCUUGGCCUCAUUUUCUAUACAACAGUGAAACGAUCCAUUAACACACAAGUACUAAAAAAAAGUUACCUCGCUUAGACUUACCUCCACAAGAAACUUCACAUAUUACCAUUGCCUUUUCCAGAGAUCUACAAUCAGAAACGCUUAACUUU